CUUCCAGGACCUGUUCAGCAGCUCUGACCCUCUCAGCGGACCCUACUUCCCUGGCUUUUUGUUUGAUGGGGAGAAAUUCCAGUCACCAGCUACACCCUCCCGGUGCAGACAGCAAAAGGCCUGUUUCAAGUGAGGGAUGGCUAGUUCAAGGACAGGAGGGUGACAUCACAAGGACCAAUCUGUAAGCCAGAAGACUCAGAAGACUAAAAAGGCAAAAUUAGGUAGCAGGGGUUACCUGCUCAGAGCAGAGACAGAUGGGAAACUUCUGUCAUCAUUAAGGUUUUAUUGACCAGCGCGGCUGGAAUUUCCCAGAGAGAGGAAUUCAUCUCGCUACCGACUGAGAGCAGACAUCCUGCUGGGAGUAGUUACAUAAAUUCUGUUGCUCAAAUUAAUUAGGAUUGUGAUUCAUUUGUUUAAUGAAGAAUCUGAUGGCGAGAGGCAAGGCAGCCUAGCCUUGCCGAGUUCAGCCAAUCCCGGGUGAUAGUGCGGCAGAUGGGGUGGGACCAGGCCUGGAGCUGGCUGCCGAUGGGCAGAGACAACCAACCAGAAUGCAGAGCUGAAGCCAGUGGGAGCCGCUGCUGUCCCCACCAAAGCUGGUGGCUGGAGG
rnacentral:lncRNA from 1 species